rnacentral:rRNA from 1 species
GACGAACGCCUGGCCGCGUGCCUAAUACAUGCAAAUCAAGCGAACCAACAACAAGCUUGCUUUUUGUUGCGUAGCGGCGGACGGGUGAGUAACACCUGGGUAACCUGCCUGUAAGACCGGGAUAACUCCCGGAAACCGGUGCUAAUACCGGAUAGAUUAUCUUUCCGCCUGGAGAGAUAAGGAAAGAUGGCUUUUGCCAUCACUUACAGAUGGGCCCGCGGCGCAUUAGCUAGUUGGUGAGGUAACGGCUCACCAAGGCGACGAUGCGUAGCCUACCUGAGAGGGUGAUCCGCCACCCUGGGACUGAAACACGGCCCAAACUCCUACGGGAGGCAGCAGUAGGGAAUCUUCCUCAAUGGACGAAAGUCUGACGGAGCAACGCCGCGUGAGCGAAGAAGGUCUUCCGAUCGUAAAGCUCUGUUGUUAGGCAAGAACACGUAUCCCAGGAAAUGCCCGUACCUUGACGGUACCUGACGACAAAGCCACCGCUAACUACAUGCCAGCAACCGCGGCAAUACGUACGUGGCAAGCGCUGACCGGAUUUAUUGCCCGUAAAGCGCGCCUCAGGCGGUCCUUUAAGUCUGAUGUGAAAUCUUGCGGCUCAACCGCAAGCGGUCAUUGGAAACUGGGGGACUUGAGUGCAGAAGAGGAAAGCGGAAUUCCACGUGUAGCGGUGAAAUGCGUAGAGACGUGGAGGAACACCAGUGGCGAAGGCGGCUUUCUGGUCUGUAACUGACGCUGAGGCGCGAAAGCGUGGGGAGCAAACAGGAUUAGAUACCCUGGUAGUCCACGCCGUAAACGAUGAGUGCUAAGUGUUGGAGGGUUUCCGCCCUUCAGUGCUGCAGCUAACGCAUUAAGCACUCCGCCUGGGGAGUACGGUCGCAAGACUGAAACUCAAAGGAAUUGACGGGGGCCCGCACAAGCGGUGGAGCAUGUGGUUUAAUUCGAAGCAACGCGAAGAACCUUACCAGGUCUUGACAUCUCCUGACCGCCCUGGAGACAGGGUCUUCCCUUCGGGGACAGGAUGACAGGUGGUGCAUGGUUGUCGUCAGCUCGUGUCGUGAGAUGUUGGGUUAAGUCCCGCAACGAGCGCAACCCUUGGUUCUAGUUGCCAGCAUUCAGUUGGGCACUCUAGAGCGACUGCCGGCGACAAGUCGGAGGAAGGUGGGGAUGACGUCAAAUCAUCAUGCCCCUUAUGACCUGGGCUACACACGUGCUACAAUGGAUGGUACAAAGGGCAGCGAAGCGGCGACGCAUGAGCGAAUCCCAGAAAACCAUUCUCAGUUCGGAUUGCAGGCUGCAACUCGCCUGCAUGAAGCCGGAAUCGCUAGUAAUCGCGGAUCAGCAUGCCGCGGUGAAUACGUUCCCGGGCCU